rnacentral:rRNA from 1 species
GACGAACGCUGGCGGCGUGCUUAACACAUGCAAGUCGAGCGGUAAGGCCCUUCGGGGUACACGAGCGGCGAACGGGUGAGUAACACGUGAGUAAUCUGCCCAUCACUUCGGGAUAACUCCGGGAAACCGGUGCUAAUACCGAAUAUGACCACUUCAGGCAUCUGAUGGUGGUGGAAAGUUCCGGCGGUGAUGGAUGAGCUCGCGGCCUAUCAGCUUGUUGGUGGGGUAGUGGCCUACCAAGGCUUCGACGGGUAGCCGGCCUGAGAGGGUGACCGGCCACACUGGGACUGAGACACGGCCCAGACUCCUACGGGAGGCAGCAGUGGGGAAUAUUGGACAAUGGGCGAAAGCCUGAUCCAGCAACGCCGCGUGAGGGAUGACGGCCUUCGGGUUGUAAACCUCUUUCAGCAGGGACGAAGCGCAAGUGACGGUACCUGCAGAAGAAGCACUGGCCAACUACGUG